GGCGGGGUCAUUGUGUGCUGGAGCCUGCGGCCUGGAGCGCGGCGACGGCGGGACCGCGGACACUUGUCUCCCUUCUCCUCCUCCUCUCUCCCUCUCCCUCUCUCUCUCUCUCCGCCGGCUCUUCCAGGCUGCCCUGCCCUCUCCUCACAGCUUCGGUUCGAUCCGACCCGGGCCCCGCACGCCUGCUUCUUUCCUUCCCUCCUCCCCCCCCUCCCGGGAGCGUUUGGCUGAGCAGCCCGGAGCCGCUGGGCGUCUCGCUGGGAACCGGAGCCGGGCCCAGGGCCCCGCGGCGCUGCCGCCGCCACCGCCACCAUGCUGAAGAAACGCAAGGGGCGGAUAGUCAUUGACUCGGACAGCGAUGACAGCGGCAGCGAGGAGAACCUGGACCAGGAGCUGUUGUCAUUGGCCAAGAGGAAAAGGAGUGAGCCGGAACAGCAAGAACAACAGGCAAGCAAACCAUCAGCGUCGUCAGAUUCAGAAACCUCCGACAGUGGUGAUGAGUGGACUGUGGGAGGCAGCAAGACCAAAAAGAAGGGAAAAGGCAAGAGUGGAGAGAAGAAACCAACCACCAAGAGAACAGUAAACAAGGCGGCAUCUUCUGGCAGCUCAGCCGAAGACAGUUCUGGAGAUAGCUCUGCUCCAGAGGAAGGUGAAGUUUCAGACUCUGAAAGGAGUAGCUCAUCUUCAAGUUCCGAGUCUUCAUCCUCAUCGGAAGAGGAGGAGUUCCAUGAUGGCUAUGAUGAUGACCUAAUGGGCGAUGAGGAUGACAGAGCCAGGUUGGAGCAAAUGACAGAGAAGGAACGGGAGCAAGAACUCUACAACCGGAUAGAGAAGCGAGAGGUACUGAGGAGGAGAUUUGAAAUUGAAAAGAAGCUAAAGGCAGCAAAGAAAAAGGAAAAGAAAGAGAAGAAGAAGAAACUGGUGGAAGAACGUGAGAAGAAGAUGCAACAGGCUCAGGAGUUGCCGGUGAUGUCUCACAACAAAGAGCGGCGAUCAAGAAGGGAUGAGAAACAGGACAAGAAGUCCCAGGCUAUGGAGGAGUUGAAGGCUGAAAGGGAAAAGAAGAAAAACAAAACGGCGGAACUAUUGGCCAGAAAGCAGCCUCUAAAAGCCAGCGAAGUUUAUUCUGAUGAUGAAGAAGAGGAAGAGGAGGAGCAGUCAAGUGUGAAGAGUGAUCGAUCGUCCAGGUCUUCAUCUUCUGAUGAAGAAGAAGAAAAAGAGGAUGUUCCAGCCAAGUCACUGCCUGUCACUUUGCCAGAGGACCUCAACAAAAUCAGGCUUUCAAGGUAUAAACUGGAGCGAUGGUGUCACAUGCCAUUUUUUUCCAAAACGGCAGUCGGUUGCUUUGUCCGAAUUGGCAUUGGAAACAGCAAUGGGAAGCCAGUGUACAGGGUUGCAGAGAUCACCGGUGUUGUAGAGACUGGAAAGGUUUAUCAGCUGGGUACUUCCAGGACAAACAAAGGCCUGCAGUUACGUCAUGGUUCAGAUGAGCGGGUGUUUCGACUUGAGUUUGUGUCGAACCAGGAGUUCACAGAAACCGAGUUCAUGAAGUGGAGAGAAACCAUAAUGUUGGGAGGAAUGCAGUUACCGACAAUGGAUGAAGUUAACAAGAAGGAGCAGCAGAUCAAGCAGGCACUGGAGUAUAAAUUCAAUGAUCGUGACAUUGAAGAGAUUGUGAAAGAAAAGGAUCGAUUCAGGAAAGCACCCUCCAAUUACGCCAUGAAAAAGACUCAACUCAUGAAAGAAAAGGCAAUGGCAGAAGAAGCAGGUGAGCCAGAGAAAGCACGGCAAAUCCAGGAACAGCUGAAUGAGCUGGAGGAACGGGCAGAGGCCCUGGACAGGCUUCGUACAAAAAACAUCUCUGCCAUCAGCUACAUAAACCAGAGGAACAGGGAAUGGAACAUUGUUGAGUCCGAGAAGGCUUUACUGGCCGAGGUCCAGAGUGAGAGGACCAAGCAGAUGGACCCCUUCACCCGGCGUCAGUGUCAGCCCACCAUCGUCUCAAAUUCCCGGGACCCUGCAGUCCAGGCUGCAAUCAUCGCUCAUCUGAAUGCCAAGUAUGGAUCUGGGUCAGAGACGGAGCUACCCCAGGAACUAAACAAACAUGCAGGAGCAGAGCAGCAGUAAAAAGGAGGACGCCAAUAAUAAAUCUAAUUCUGACCUCUCUGAGGAUCUUUUCAAGGCUCAUGACUUUGAUAUCAAGAUAGAUCUGCAAGUGCCCAAUGCAGAAUCCAAGUCGUUGUCAGUGAGCUCGAAAACGCCAUCUGUUAAAGACGGAACCCCAAGACGAUCCCUAAAUCUGGAGGACUACAAAAAGCGCCGGGGAUUGAUCUGAAGGGUACCACAGUGCUGCUGCAGGUCGUUGCAUGUGUUUCACUCACAGUGGACAAGUGCAGCAAGCGGACAUUUAAAAGACUGAGUCUGGCCGGCUGUCUCUGUUCAGGCAGGGUGGCUAUUGUAUAAAAAAACAAUGCCUGGUGAUUUUUUUUUUUUUUCCUUUAGUAAAAAUAACUUGAGUGCUGCUUUCUGUCAUUCUUUAGUGCUUGGCUGCAAAGUGAUCCCACUCACUAAGCCUACCGUCUUUUAAAAAAAAUCUUAACUGGAGAUUGAGACAAUUUCAUUUGAGUGGACAGUUUGAUUUAUGCAUUCAAUGAGCCUACUUUGAUGCAGGGCUCUUUCAUGAGAUCUUGUAUACAGGAAACACUUUUUUUCUACGGCUGUGUUUUGUACAUGUACACUGUAGUUUAAAUGGAUAGCAGAAGCAAAUGUCUGGUGACCAGCAAUGUUGGUGAACAAAGAGCAGGCUGGCCAUAUCAUACCUGUUCUGGCUGUUAGGGUUAGUUCUUCUGGCCUGUUGGCCACUCAAAAUGGUGAGUAAUUUGUUUUCCGUGUCAAAUUCCCUGUCGCCUGGGAAGAGACCCAACUCUAUAAGUUACCUGAAAGUUUUCUUUGAGUCGUCUCACUCAUUUGGUAAAUAAACGUUGAUUACGCAGCAGCUAAGGCUCCGAGCAGCAGUCACUGUGGCAGUUUCUGACAAAUUGAGAGGACUGGGUGGAACAAGUCGUAAGUUUUACUAACUACAUCUCUUGGCGGUUGACUGUCCUUAUCAUGCUUCGAAAGUUCAGACUCUGACACCAUAACAGCCAAGGGUAGAUACACUGUGGGUGUAUUUUUUUGUGCUGGUGGUCCAGAGAGAGUUCUCAAAGUUUCACAGAUCUGUCUAAGUACUGAUCACUUGAGCCGUGUACAUAUCUCUUUUUUGGUGUAAUCAGAGUAUCUCAAGCAUUAACCCCAACACCGUCCCCGUCUGCUUAAACCCGAAAGGCGUUUUAUUUACUUCCGGCCUCUUUUUUUAAAGAAAACCAAAAGCAGAACUUUUUUAAAAAAACUUAUCAGCAUCUUAAAGAGAAACCCAGAAGUGUGUUUCCAAAUGGAGUGAGCGUGGUCCUGCCCAAAUCAUUAUAGCCUUUUCCCCAAGUUAUCCAUCAUUUCCAUCAGCAUUUCUAUUUUUAAUUCUACAGCAAACUUCCUCCUUGUGUUUAAACCCCACUGGACUGGAGCUACAUUGGUUACUGUAAUGGUUGGGGCCGGAUGAAGACUGCACUAGGCUCAAGCAGUCCUGGAUUAAAAAGCGAGGCCUACUUUCUACUGUUUCAAUUUCAGUUGAGGGUAGAGUGUGAUCGCUCAAUGUUUGCAGGGCAAUUGUAUUGUGAACGUGCUCCAUCGAUUUAACAAACGGCAAGAUUUGAAACCGAAACCAGUGUACUCUUGUAGUACUGUAUUCCUGCCACUACAUGGUAGUGUUGUAAUAAAGUGCUAAUCCAA